UGGGGAAUUUUGCGCAAUGGGCGGAAAGCCUGACGCAGCAACGCCGCGUGCGGGACGAAGGCCUUCGGGUUGUAAACCGCUUUCAGCAGGGAAGAUGAUGACGGUACCUGCAGAAGAAGCCCCGGCUAAAUACGUGCCAGCAGCCGCGGGAAUACGUAUGGGGCGAGCGUUAUCCGGAUUCAUUGGGCGUAAAGCGCGCGUAGGCGGCCUUGCAAGCGGGACCUCCAACCCCGGGGCUCAACCCCGGGCCGGGUCCCGAACUGCAGGGCUCGAGUUCGGUAGGGGGAGGCGGAAUUCCCGGUGUAGCGGUGAAAUGCGCAGAUAUCGGGAAGAACACCGAUGGCGAAGGCAGCCUCCUGGGCCGGCACUGACGCUGAGGCGCGAAAGCCGGGGGAGCGAACAGG
rnacentral:rRNA from 2 species